rnacentral:tRNA from 1 species
GCUUUUAAAGGAUAACAGCUCAUCCAUUGGCCUUAGGAGCCAAAAACUCUUGGUGCAAAUCCAAGUGAAAGCU